rnacentral:rRNA from 1 species
UACAGAGGUCCCAAGCGUUGUUCGGAUUCAUUGGGCGUAAAGGGUGCGUAGGCGGCGCGGUAAGUCGGGUGUGAAAUCUCGGAGCUUAACUCCGAAACUGCAUUCGAUACUGCCGUGCUUGAGGACUGGAGAGGAGACUGGAAUUUACGGUGUAGCGGUGAAAUGCGUAGAGAUCGGGAGGAACACCAGAGGCGAAGGCGGCGACCUGGACAGAUACUGACACUCAACUGCGAAAGCGUGGGGAGCAAACAGG